rnacentral:rRNA from 1 species
UAGGGAAUCUUCGGCAAUGGACGGAAGUCUGACCGAGCAACGCCGCGUGAGUGAAGAAGGUUUUCGGAUCGUAAAGCUCUGUUGUAAGAGAAGAACGAGUGUGAGAGUGGAAAGUUCACACUGUGACGGUAUCUUACCAGAAAGGGACGGCUAACUACGUGCCAGCAGCCGCGGUAAUACGUAGGUCCCGAGCGUUGUCCGGAUUUAUUGGGCGUAAAGCGAGCGCAGGCGGUUAGAUAAGUCUGAAGUUAAAGGCUGUGGCUUAACCAUAGUACGCUUUGGAAACUGUUUAACUUGAGUGCAAGAGGGGAGAGUGGAAUUCCAUGUGUAGCGGUGAAAUGCGUAGAUAUAUGGAGGAACACCGGUGGCGAAAGCGGCUCUCUGGCUUGUAACUGACGCUGAGGCUCGAAAGCGUGGGGAGCAAACAGGAUUAGAUACCCUGGUAGUCCACGCCGUAAACGAUGAGUGCUAGGUGUUAGACCCUUUCCGGGGUUUAGUGCCNGCAGCUAACGCAUUAAGCACUCCGCCUGGGGAGUACGACCGCAAGGUUG